rnacentral:rRNA from 1 species
AUUGAACGCUGGCGGCAUGCCUUACACAUGCAAGUCGAACGGCAGCACGGGAGCAAUCCUGGUGGCGAGUGGCGAACGGGUGAGUAAGGUAUCGGAACGUGCCCAGUCGUGGGGGAUAACGUAGCGAAAGUUACGCUAAUACCGCAUACGAUCUAUGGAUGGAAGCGGGGGAUCGCAAGACCUCGCGCGAUUGGAGCGGCCGAUAUCAGAUUAGGUAGUUGGUGGGGUAAAGGCCCACCAAGCCGACGAUCUGUAGCUGGUCUGAGAGGACGACCAGCCACACUGGGACUGAGACACGGCCCAGACUCCUACGGGAGGCAGCAGUGGGGAAUUUUGGACAAUGGGCGAAAGCCUGAUCCAGCCGUGCCGCGUGCAGGAUGAAGGCCUUCGGGUUGUAAACUGCUUUUGUACGGAACGAAAAGGACUGCCCUAAUACGGUGGUCCCAUGACGGUACCGUAAGAAUAAGCACCGGCUAACUACGUGCCAGCAGCCGCGGUAA